AGCGAACGCUGGCGGCAGGCUUAACACAUGCAAGUCGAACGCGCCCUUCGGGGCGAGUGGCAGACGGGUGAGUAACGCGUGGGAACCUACCUUUUGGUACGGAAUAACUCAGGGAAACUUGAGCUAAUACCAUAUGUGCCCCUCGGGGGAAAGAUUCAUCGCCAAAGGAUGGGCCCGCGUCGGAUUAGCUAGUUGGUGGGGUAAUGGCCUACCAAGGCGACGAUCCGUAGCUGGUCUGAGAGGAUGAUCAGCCACACUGGGACUGAGACACGGCCCAGACUCCUACGGGAGGCAGCAGUGGGGAAUAUUGGACAAUGGGGGCAACCCUGAUCCAGCCAUGCCGCGUGAGUGAUGAAGGCCUUAGGGUUGUAAAGCUCUUUCGCCGGUGAAGAUAAUGACGGUAACCGGAGAAGAAGCCCCGGCUAACUUCGUGCCAGCCGCCGCCGUAAAAC
rnacentral:rRNA from 1 species